rnacentral:lncRNA from 1 species
AAAAAAAUAACUUAAAAAACUAAAAAUCAAAACUGAUAAAUUUUCCUCCCUUAAAUCUAUCAUCAUUAUCAUCCAAACCUCCAUUACAUCUACCAUCAUUUCCUCUCAACACCACCCACCAUUUAUCUCCCAACCCAACACCUUCUCAACAAAAACAACUUCAAUCUGAAUCUACCGUCAAAGAAGAAUCUUCUCAACUCCAAUCUGAUAAACCCAAAAUAGUUUUACCCGAUUCUGGCUUGGUUGAAGAUCUGGACUUUUUUUCCAUGAAGUUUAUGAUGAUAGAUGAGUUUUGAUUGUUAUUUUUGAAUUUUAUUUUAUGGUUGAAGAUCUGGAUUUAUGUGUAUGGGAGAAGUUUAUGGUUGAAGAUCUUGAUUUUUAUUUUUAUGAAAUUUUUUUUUGAAUUUUAAGGUUGAAGUUUUCGAAGAUAGAUGAAUUUUUAUUUUUGUAAUUAUGGUUCAAGAUCUGGAUUUAUGGGUUGUUUAAAUUUUAUUUUGAGUGUUAGAAUUUUAAAUUUCUAGGUUUUCUUUAUGAAUAUGAUGAAUGUUAUGAAGAUAGGGAUGAAGAUGAAUAGGGAAUAUGAUGAAGGAAAGGAGAAAAAAUUAGAUGUUGGUGGUUCA